rnacentral:lncRNA from 10 species
CAGCUGCAGUUCAUUGUUGUGUGGGAAUGCGUCUCAGUGUUUCCAGUCCACCCCCAUUAUCAACAGACCCAGAAAUCCAGAUUUUUAUGUAAAAUAAUUGAAUAUUGGCAACUCAUCUAAACAUUUUACUGAUGUAUUACAGGACAAAAAAUUCCAUGGGCAAGAUUCACUCCAGUGACUCCUGGUUUUGCCCGUUUUCACCUAGAUCAGACUUUUUAAAUCAACAGUACCUUAUAUUGAAACAUCACUUCUCAUUUGCUGUUUGGACAAUGGUGAUGGAACUGCUGCUUUAUUGCCCACGGAGAAACGAAGCGAAGAGUCUAAAGUGGGUCUUGCAGUUACACUGGACAAAAGAAGUUUGAAACUGAGGCUUGGUCCUGAAGAACACAUAGCGAAG